UAUGCUCUUAAGUAUGUGUCGAUGAGUU
rnacentral:piRNA from 1 species